CCCAGGGCUUUUUUUUUUGUCUUUCAUACAAUGUUUUGAAAGUAGCUCCUCUGCACAAGGAGCUCUAUUUGUAUAUGAGUGCUAGAAAUUGUACACAAAUAAGGCUGUCUCUAAUCCAUUUGUUAUAAAGUGUCAUAAAAACAGCAAAGAGAGAAUAAUGCCUGGUUUCUACUCUGGACAGUCCUCCUCUCUAGGUGCAGCUGUGCUGGGGGUGAAGGCUCUGCCCAUUCCCAACUGCUGCCCAUCAUCUCAAUCUGCCACAGAUUCAGUCUGCAUCAGGUGCCCAAGCUGCAAUGUGGGAUGAUCUGAGCAAGUAAUUGCAAUGGAGCUGAGCAGGUUUUGUGAAAUCAAUUUGCAAUUGAGAUGCGUUUCUGCGAUCCCAGCAGUGCCGGCUCUGGCAUCGCUGCUCUCACGGAGCACCAUAUGCUUCCUUCUGUUUGUUUGCUGCCUUCCCAACGCUCCCAGAUCAUCUCAUUGGUGCUGUGGAGCAAACAUCCCCUGUGCUGCUGCUUCCUGUUCUGGAUCUGUCCCCCUGCUCAGGUGCCCUGCUGGCUCCACACUGAGGUGCAGAAAGCUUUCUGAUCACCAAGCUGUGUCCUCAGUUACAUCUGGAUGGCAUAGCUGUACAGGUGCAUAG
rnacentral:lncRNA from 1 species